AGAUCACGGGUGUCAAACUCAAGGCCUGGGGGCCAGAUCCGGCCCUCCACAUCAAUUUAUGUGGAUCACGGAUUAGAAUAAAG